AUGGUUGCACUCCAGAAGCUAACAGUUCAGUACAGCGAGAAGCAGCUCCCAUCGUACCUGCAAACUGUAAAGCCAAGCCAUUUGCUGCUGGAUUGCUGCUCGGUGAUACUCCUUUCCAUGGCUUUGGGAGAGUCUUGUUCCGAGUGGGACAAGUUCAGCCAUAUCCAGCAAGUUGAGGCUUAUGCAGAUGAUGGAGGCAUUGAAAAGAGAUGGCACCUAUUCUACACAAGGGAGCCCUACAACAUGGGGACCAACAUUGAUCUGCAGGAGUGGUCAGACGAUGUUAACUUUAUCCAAUCAGAGGGUGAAGAUGGACUGCCUCGGUUAGCUGCCCUGAUGAAAUCUGCGGAUGAAGAUGAGGAGGAUGCAGACAACACAGAAGAAAUAGAGGAGGAAAGCAUGGGCCAAGGAAGGGAGGAGUAG
rnacentral:rRNA from 1 species